rnacentral:rRNA from 1 species
UCUGGUUGAUCCUGCCUGAACUGAUGUGUUUAUUUCAAAGAUUAAGCCAUGCAUGUAUAAGUUUAAUCGUUUAUCGAGAAACCGCGAACGGCUCAUUACAAUGGCCAUUAUUUACUUGAUCUUGAUUGUCUAAAUGGAUAACUGUGGAAAAGCUAGAGCUAAUACAUGCACUAAAGCUUUGUCCUUACGGAAAAGCGCAUUUAUUAGAACAAAACCACGCGGCUUCGGCUGCUUCUUGUUGACUCAGAAUAACUUAGCUGACCGCAUGGCCUUGUGCCGGCGGCGUGUCUUUCAAGCGUCCACUUUAUCAACUUGACGGGAGCAUAAUCGACUCCCGUGGUGGUGACGGAUAACGGAGGAUCAGGGUUCGACUCCGGAGAAGGGGCCUGAGAAAUGGCCACUACGUCUAAGGAUGGCAGCAGGCGCGCAAAUUACCCACUCUCGGCUCCAGGAGGUAGUGACGAGAAAUAACGAGACUGUUCUCUUUGAGGCCGGUCAUCGGAAUGGGUACAAUUUAAACCCUUUAACGAGUAUCAAGCAGAGGGCAAGUCUGGUGCCAGCAGCCGCGGUAAUUCCAGCUCUGCAAAUACAUAGAAUUAUUGCUGCGGUUAGAAAGCUCAUAGUUGGAUUCGUAUCGAUACCUUGGAACCCUUCGGGUGUCUCUAGGUGUUAUCGAUUUAUCGUAAUGUUCGGUUUUGAGUCCUUAACAGGAUUCUUAACAGGCAUUGCAAGUUUACUUUGAACAAAUCAGAGUGCUUCAAACAGGCGUUUUCGCUUGAAUGAUCGUGCAUGGAAUAAUAGAAAAUGAUUUCGGUUCAGUUUUAUUGGUUUUACGGACUGAGAUAAUGGUUAACAGAGACAAACGGGGCAUUUGUAUGGUCCCGUGAGAGGUGAAAUUCUUGGACCGUGGCCAGACAAACUACAGCGAAAGCAUUUGCCAAGAAUGUUUUUAUUAAUCAAGAACGAAAGUCAGAGGUUCGAAGGCGAUCAGAUACCGCCCUAGUUCUGACCGUAAACGAUGCCAACUAGCGAUCCGCCGAUGGAAAUUAUAUUGCCUUGGUGGGGAGCUUCCCGGAAACGAAAGUCUUCCGGUUCCGGGGGAAGUAUGGUUGCAAAGCUGAAACUUAAAGGAAUUGACGGAAGGGCACCACCAGGAGUGGAGCCUGCGGCUUAAUUUGACUCAACACGGGGAAACUCACCCGGCCGGACACUGUGAGGAUUGACAGAUUGAUAGCUUUUUCAUGAUUCAGUGGAUGGUGGUGCAUGGCCGUUCUUAGUUCGUGGAGUGAUUUGUCUGGUUUAUUCCGAUAACGAGCGAGACUCUAACCUACUAAAUAGUUGGUACAUACUCUUAGUGUAUACAGCUUCUUAGAGGGAUUUGCGGCGUUCAGCCGAAAGAAAUUGAGCAAUAACAGGUCUGUGAUGCCUUAGAUGUCCGGGGCUGCACGCGCGCUACACUGGCAAAAUCAACGUGCUUGUCCUACCCUGAAAGGGGCGGGUAAACCAUUGAAAAUUUGCCGUGAUUGGGAUCGGAAAUUGCAAUUAUUUUCCGUGAACGAGGAAUUCCAAGUAAGUGCGAGUCAUCAGCUCGCGUUGAUUACGUCCCUGCCCUUUGUACACACCGCCCGUCGCUGCCCGGGACUGAGCCAUUUCGAGAAAUUUGGGGACCGUUGAUUUAAUUUUUCUAAAUUACUUUGAUGGAAACCAAUUUAAUCGCAGUGGCUUGAACCGGGCAAAAGUCGUAACAAGGUAGCUGUAGGUGAACCUGCUGCUG